rnacentral:rRNA from 1 species
AGAACGAACGCUGGCGGCAUGCCUAAUACAUGCAAGUCGAACGAACACUUCGGUGUUAGUGGCGCACGGGUGCGUAACGCGUGGGAAUCUGCCCUUGGGUUCGGAAUAACAGUUGGAAACGACUGCUAAUACCGGAUGAUGACGAAAGUCCAAAGAUUUAUCGCCCAGGGAUGAGCCCGCGUAGGAUUAGCUAGUUGGUGAGGUAAAGGCUCACCAAGGCGACGAUCCUUAGCUGGUCUGAGAGGAUGAUCAGCCACACUGGGACUGAGACACGGCCCAGACCUCCUACGGGAGGCAGCGAGUAGGGAAUAUUAGGACAAGU